CUGUAGGGCAAUCUCUGUAUCUCGGUAGGAAUAAAUUACUAUUAAAAAUUAAUCCUAGAUAGUUUUCCCUUCAAGUCAAACAUCUUGU
rnacentral:pre_miRNA from 1 species